rnacentral:tRNA from 1 species
GCCUGGGUGGCUCAGUCGGUUAAGCGUCUGACUUCGGCUCAGGUCAUGAUCUCGAGGUCCGUGGGUUCGAGCCCCGCGUCGGGCU